AUUUGCUAUGUCACUCUUAGGUUUACCCCAAAGCACAUAGACCGUUUUCACUGCUCAAGCUGCUGCCUACAAAACAGGAGAUGCCAAGCCAUGCACAGAAAUUCACCAAAAUGCACAGAUUCACCUAUCAAUAUACAUACUUGCCUCACAACUCACACAAACACCACCGAGCACUGAGACUCACCCUAAAUGUACAGACAAGCCCUUCAGGGCACAGACUUACUCUGUAACAUACUAAAUCACAUCCCCCAUACUUAGAUGUGCCUUAUGAUUCACAGUGAUGCGUGUAAACACAUAGAUUGCUUCCACAAUGCACAGAAUUGCAUCAUAACACAGACUUACUCUACAGUGCAAAACUGACAGUGCACAUAAACAUUUCCCAGUCGGCUAGACACACAACACACAUAUUACUCCUACAAUGUAAAGAUUUCCAUCACGGUGGACAGACGUGCUUUUCCAUGCUGUUGAGCUACAACUCUGGCCUACAACAACAGAAAUACAGCUUGUGUAAUAGUUACCAGCAAGGCCUCUAGACCCAUACUAACUGGGUUUGAAUCAAGGUCCCGUCCCUUGCUGAUUGUAUCACCUUGGGAGGAGAUGGAAGAUUGAGAGCAGAGUGCAAGAAUGGGAAGAGGGCUUCGUGCCCUGUGCACGUUUGCCACCUAGUGACCAAACUGAAUGGUGUGCUUCUCACCUCAGCGUGAUAGCCUGACCUUGACUCCUGAGUUCCACGAUCGCUUCACAACUGCAAGUCACCAUCAUACAAAAUUUGAGUUUCCCUAAGUCCGCGCCUUUGAGAGCUUUGGAACGAUAUGCAAGUUCAAGUCACCAUCCUGUUUCUUGCUACCUCCUGUGAGAAGACCAACAUUUGGGUUACACUUGUUUCUACUCUUGUUCUUCUGCUUGUUAUUGUUGCCUCUGCAGCCAUUGAUCACACACGUGUUGUCAUACAAAAACUGGCAGAUUUAACAGAGGAAAAAAAACCACAAAGCCAGAGAUACGACGCUGUUAUCUUGUUCUAAGAAUUUUGGGCAAAGGCAUAGGCUGAACCUGCCUGUUCUUUUGGCUGCUUUACACAUUCCCAACUGAUGUCCAUUUUGAACUCAGUUGGACAGUUAUUCUGGGGAAUAGAGAGGAAGUCCAAAUAACAUCGCUGUUGUUUCUGUCUUAAUUGCUGUUUGUGCCGGAUUCACAGCACUGGCCUCAUCAUUAUAUCUGAUAAUGAUGCACAGAAAACCUGAAUAGA
rnacentral:lncRNA from 1 species